rnacentral:rRNA from 1 species
GCAGCCGCCGCGGUAAUACGUAGGGUGCAAGCGUUAAUCGGAAUUACUGGGCGUAAAGCGUGCGCAGGCGGUGAUGUAAGACAGUCGUGAAAUCCCCGGGCUCAACCUGGGAAUUGCGAUUGUGACUGCAUCACUGGAGUGCGGCAGAGGGGGAUGGAAUUCCGCGUCUAGCAGUGAAAUGCGGAGAUAUGUGGAGGAACACCAAUGGCGAAGGCAGCCCCCUGGGUCGAUACUGACGCCCAUGCACGAAAGCGUGGGUAGCAACCAGGAUUAGAUACCCUGGUAGUCCACGCCCUAAACG